AGGUAAUUCAAGUUUGAUUUGAUUAUUUAUUGAUUAAGUUUAAUGCAUGCAGGUCAAGUCAAACUCAAUUGGGUAAAGCCUAAAUGGACACUACAUCAUUUCACAAUUUUAUAUUUUCCAGAGUCGACUCCAAGAAUUCUUUUCCAAAAUUCAGUGCUUUUCAAGUUCACCUAAAUUUCUUCCCACUCGUUCCAACUCUUUUUCCACACAACCCAAUUUUCCUAUUUUAAUC
rnacentral:lncRNA from 1 species